rnacentral:rRNA from 1 species
UACAGAGGUCCCGAGCGUUGUUCGGAUUCACUGGGCGUAAAGGGUGCGUAGGUGGCUUGACAAGUUUGAUGUGAAAUCUCCGGGCUUAACCCGGAAAAUGCAUUGAAUACUGUAGAGGCUUGAGGUUUGGAGGGGGACUGGAAUUCUCGGUGUAGCAGUGAAAUGCGUAGAUAUCGAGAGGAACACCAGUGGCGAAGGCAGGUCUCUGGGCAUUAACUGACGCUGAGGAGCGAAAGCUGGGGAGCGAACAGG